CAGGUAAAGGAUGUAGGGACUAAGGAUGUACAGGUAAAGGAUGUAGGGACUAAGGAUGUACAGGUAAAAGAUGUAGGGACUAAGGAUGUACAGGUAAAGGAUGUAGGGACUAAGGAUGUACAGGUAAAGGAUGUAGGGACUAAGGAUGUACAGGUAAAGGAUGUAGGGACUAAGGAUGUACAGGUAAAAGAUGUAGGGACUAAGGACUAAGGAUGUACAGGU